ensembl:lncRNA
CCGUUAUGAAUGCUCAAGGCCCCCACAGCAUUUUGAACUGAGAUCUGUAUGGACCUAUGGAAAUCUGCAUCAACCCUAUGGAGCGUAGCCUGCCAGCCUCUUAUGUCUGUGGGAUUUCCCAGGCAGGAACACUGGGGCAAAAAGCACAUAAUAGCUAUCAACGUUUGAGGAAACCGGAAGAUCUGAGACAUCACAAGCAUUUGAAUUUCAAUUUCUCCAUCUCCGGACUUAUGAUGCAAUAAAAUAAAGCCUCCCACUGUAGUCCAGUCCACAGCAAAGUCAAGCCCCAAAUGGCUGAAUGAAGAUCUGAAAGGCUUGGAAAAAAAUAAAUGAACUGCCUGCUUUUCAUUAUGCUUCCCUCUCAGGAUGGAGAUACAUCUGGUUUUCUGAUUACACUUUACCAUAGUAAAGAAAAUUCUAGCCUAGCAGGUCAAACCAGCUGAUGACUAGCCAGCUCCAAUUACUGACCUGACCUGCUUCUAACCUCAGAGGAGGAGGGAAGGAGAAAGCCCUUUUCUCUCAUUCUUAGAAACUGAAACAUGGGCAUAGAACGUUGUGGGGUUUGUUCCUUGAUUAAUUAAAGUUGCUUAUUCAAA